CAAAUUGUCUAGAGGCAAUAGUCUCUGCUACAUUUUGAGAGAUGCAGUGUAAAGCUAGCUCAGGAAGGCAGGGAUACAACUUUGUUAACUUUAACUUAGGACACAUGUAAAUAUUUUUCUGUUUAAAUCACAAUUAUUAUUUUAGAGAAACGAGGCGGGAAGUAGUCCAGCCAUGGAAUACAUUGGUUUUCAAAGAUGUAUGGAUUACAUGCUGAACUGUAGACUCAAUAUUUCUACCAUGGUGACAGACUGCCACAAAUCAAUACAGAAGCACAUGCGUGAGAAUCUGAAUCAAAUAACACAUUAUUUUGACCUAUGGCACAUUAAGAAAAAUAGAAGCACGAAGAAAUAGUGUGUGAAAAUUAUCGAGUGGUUUGUAAGUAUUGUAUUCAAAUGAUACCAAGGAAAGAUAUUGAACAUCAUGAAAGUACAACUUGUGAUGAAGUGCCGACGAAAUGUGAAUUUCAAGCCAUUGGAUGCAACCAUGAUAAAACUUUAAAACGAAAGGAGAUCAGACAACAUAUGAAUGACACUCCAAUUAAUCACGUGAGCCUCUUGUUACGAUAUGUUAUGGCAUUUGUUAUACUGCUUGAUAACUUCGUAGUACGUCCAGAUGUUAGAUGGCAAAAUUACAGUUCAGGAAAGAAUUGAGUGUCUCGAGGGUCGUGGUAGUAGCAAUAGUUAUAACACCCAGUUGUCCCAAGAGGUUUCCUUGUUGCGUGAAAGAAUUUCAACACUUGAGCGAAAAGCGAGAGACGAUUCUUCCACUAUACAACGGUUUCGUAAGCGUUUAGAUCAAAUAGACGAAUCAAUAGUGAGAAACAUGGUGAACAUUACGAACCUUGAAGCGCAACGUGAAGAGCGCGCACUGGGAUCAAAUCAGGUAAUACACAGCCACAAUGGUACGUUACUUUGGAAAAUAGACAAUUUCUAGAAGAAGAGACAGGACGCCAUUAAUGGUGUUAAGAAUGCCUGGUACAGUCCACCAUUCUACAGUUUUCAAUAUGGUUACAAGAUGUGUGCUAAGAUCUAUAUGAAUGGUGAUGGUUUUGGAAAGGAAACACAUUUAUCUUUGUUCUUUGUUAUCAUGAAAGGUGAUUAGGAUGCUCUACAAACAUGGCCAUUGCAAAAGAAGAUCACAAUGAUGUUAGUGGCUCAAGGAAAUGGUGAUCACAUGAUUGAUGCUUUUCAUUCAGAUCCUCGAAGUUCCUUAUUUCAGCGACCAUAGUCUGAUUUGAAUCUAUUUGGAUUGCCAGUUCUAAUUUGGCCGAUAGAGAGUUUAAGCAAUCUUCCGUUCAUUAAGUAUGAUACAAUGUUCAUUAAGUUAAUUGUUGAAUGAACAAAA